UGUGAUGUCAGCAAAUCCCACAGCCCCUCCAGUGUGAUCCCAAUGUGAUGUCAGCAAACCCCACAGCCCCUCCAGCAGCACUUCCCUCCAGGUGUUCCCGUUAAAGGCAAACACAACAAGUUUUACAUAAAAUCAAGUGCCAGCAUCCCAGUAUUCCUGGUUUCCUAUUUCAUUUCCAACCCACACCGUGACCAAACGUCUCCCCGGACCCCUGAUGUGACAAGGCAGUUUUGAAGGCAGAUAAUCCGGGGUGGGUGAGGCUGCUCCAGCACGCCGGGAAAUCCGCAGCGGAGCUGGCAGAGCUCCACUGGAAGAGCUGAUCAAUACUUUAAAUCCAUAUGGUAUCAAAAAGGCAGAGAAGACUCACACAAAGCCAGUGCAGCCGUUAUUUAGGGCUCCGAUCCCAGCCCAGCCCGGCGUCCCUGCGGAACGUGUGCCCGGCACGGGGGCAGGCGACGCGGCUCCCGACUGCCAUCGUGCCCCCCAGAGCACAAACACGGGGAAAAUAAACCCCAAACCAAACGAAUCAACCCCCCCCCCGGGGUUGGGAACCCGCUGGAACGAUCCCGGAGCUGCCGCAGCCGGCGCUGGCUCCGACCCCGGAGCCGCCGCAGCGAUGCCGGCGUAGGACGGGGAGCUGCAAAUCUCAGCGUUCCCGAUGGAUUCCAGCCUGGAAUGACACGAUGGACUCCAGCCUGGAAUGACACGACGGAUUCCAGCCUGGUGAGGAGUGACACGUGCCAAACGAUCCGCCCGCUGCUCCUCCGGGAUGAAGACCUUUUGUUCCCAAACCAUGAGACAACCAGAAGAUAAAUGAGGUUAACAGGUAAUGAG